rnacentral:lncRNA from 1 species
CUCCAGUGCCCGUCGGGCCCCAGCCAGGCCGUCGUGGGGUCGCGGAACGCGCUCGCGUUCACUCCGGACGGGAAGAUGACGGGGUUGUAAUCGGGCUUGGUCCAUUCCCGGAGGUACGGAUCCGAUAGGUCCUUGGGGAAUGCGACGUUUUGGAGCUGGCGUCCGGCUCCGUCGAUGCCCGUGUACAUAAUGGCCGGCUUGUUGCCGGGGAGAAUGGUCGCCGAGCCCGACCAGGUCCCGUUGAUGUCGAAUGGUUUGGACGGGUAGAUCGCCGGUUCGAGCGGGAUCCAGUUGAUCAUGUCCGUUGAGAUCGAGUGCGCCCACACGAUGUUGCCCCACACCGCGCCUUUGGGAUUGUAUUGGUAGAAUAGGUGGUAUAUUCCAUUAUAGUACAUGGGUCCUGCGGAAGCUUGCAGUUUUAGCAUCUGGUCGAGAUUCUGAGGAAACCUUGGUAGGUUUGCUCGUCCGUCGUAUUUAAAAUUGGCCGGAAAAGUCAAACUAAUAAGGGACAGAAGUAGCGUACCAUUUGGAUCUGCUCGUCGCGUUCAUUGAAUUCACCGACAAGCGCAAGCGGGCAUGAGAAGAAAACACCGAAAAUAUAAGCAUCCAACCGCUCAAAUGGAAUAGGAAUUUACUGUUUGACUAAUAUUUUCUAGGAUAUAUACAUAAAUGUCUUCUUCGUCAGAAGGAUCGAGAGGAUUGAUGAGGAGAAUGCCAUCAAAACAUAGCCGUAGUGGUAAAAUAAUAACCUUUGCAUGUUAGGUGGGAAGUGAUCGACAUCGGAGUUCAAACGAAGCUGCUAAUUUUUUUCUUUUUUUUAAAAAAAAUAACAUAGACUUCGUGGUCAAAUUCCAGCGGUAUCGGACCUUUCAAUGCCAAAAGAGUACAUCCAAACGCCAGAAAUUCUUGUGGGGAUGCAGGAGUUUGACAAUAGGGAGGCCGCCGCCGCCGCCGCCGCCCAUAAGAGUCGUCGGGAAUACGUGUCAACUGGAUAUGGGCGCAUUUUAGUAAAUUUAGGUAUUUUGUCCCUAAAAUGCGCCUCAAUACAGUAAUCCGACGGCCAUGAAAAUAAAACAAAGAACAGGAUACAAGGGAACCCAAAAGAACAGCUAGGGAUAUAUAAGAGACGAGAAGGAAAGUUUGGACUGCAUCAAACGCAUUAAAUUAACAACAAAAAUAAUAAUAAUAAUAGUUUUAAUCUGGGAUCAUAUUGAGAGAUAAAUGGUGAAGAAAGAGGAAAACAAAAGGAGAAGAAGAGGCAGUAUUUUUAAAAGAGGGAGCGAAGAUUCACCGUUCAUCCAGUUUCUGGGAGGCUGGAAGUGAUAGCCUGUCUUCAACAAAGAAUUGACAACGGGGACAUGCAGGGACUGGAGGUGAGAAUACACCACAUGAGAAGCAUCCACCGUUCCAUUCCUCGCAGUGAAGAGAACCACCAGUAGUAUCCACGCCGUCCAAACUCCCCUUGUUGGAGUUCCCAUUUAAGAGUUGCAAAGCCCACGGACAGGUACAAGAAGAGAAGGAUCUAAUGAAGGGUUAGUAGUUGAAAGGAGAGAUGGAAAACAAAGAUGAUCUCUAGCUAGGGAACAUAUACAGAGAAGGACAGAGGAGGGGUUGG